AGUAAUACUAUUUUUACAACGGUAAAAGACAACUUUUUUAUGUAUUAGAGAAAUUUUUAUGUCAUUUUUCUCCGGUCAUUGACUAAUUUCAAUUGAAGUCUGUCUUUCCACAUGUUCUUUUGCAGUUAAUUUUGCGUUACAAUUGUGUUGGCAAAUUGACAAACAGCAAAUGGGCAUAUCAUCAAUGUAGCUAGUCCAGAUAAAGUAGUGGAGACAACCGAUCUCUCACCUUUGUGUGGGCAUAUAUAGCUAGCACAAGAAGUUAGGGUAUGUUUAUCGGAGGGUUGUAAGGGGGUUGUAAGAGUUUUGUUGGGUUAAAAUUAAAUCAAAAGAAAAGAAAAUAAGGAAGAGGCUCUCUUAUAUAAGAUACUGAAAUCGAUCAUAAGAGACUGGUACGUGUCCAUUUUUCGUUGGCCAAGAGAAUAAUAGAAAAGGGAUAAAAAAAAAAUUGCCGACAAACAAUUCUUUCUCUCUUUCUCCCUUUCUCUCCCGAUCAAUUUCUUUCUUUCUCUCCCGAUCAAAGUCUCGAUCCGACAAAGGAAGAUCUGCUUUAAUCGGAGGUUAUAGAAUCAGUAAAGUCCAUGGUCGGAGGCGAUUUGAAUCGGCGUAGAUCUUAUCGGAGUAAUAUCUUUGAAAUGGGUUCCGUUUCUCUGCAUCUCUAGCUUCGCUCUCGGAGCAAUCUUCACCUCCAGGUCAUGUGUCAGAUUCCGGAAGUCAGCUAAUCGCACAGCACCGUCGUGAUCAUGAACUUCAGAGUUCAGAUUGUGUCAGACGAUUGUGCGCAUAAUAAUAAAGUAUGCUUCUUUAUUCUAUCUAGUCUGAGGCUUUUGUUAAAUCAGUGCUCGAUAAAACCAAGAGUUACACUAGAUAGAUUAUAAAAGAAUCUGACUUUGGUAGCUCAAUUUGGAAAUUCAUAGUUUUCAAGUGUUUUAAGGAAUGAUUUUAGCUCUGAAUUUUUGAAGAUAUGUUGCGAUGAUUGAUUGUGUUUGGACUUUGUUUGCAAAGAGAUUUGGGUUCUAUUCAGGCUCAGGCCAACGAAAUAAUUUGAUCAAUGGGUGAGGUAUGUACACUUCUUAUACAUAUGGCUUCUUCUUCUUCUUCUUCUUCUUCUAAUUAUUAACCAGUAAGCUUUUUCUUUUUUGCAUUACAAAAUGAGAAAUUAUGUCACCUCCAACUGGAUGAAUCUUGGGUCACUUCCAACUCUGUGGUCUUCCCUUCCACUGAGAAGACUCUUUAUCUGGAACAUUUUACUUAAUUAUGUAUCUUUUCUUAUUUGUAGUUGGUCUUUAAAACCUUUUAACUUAUCUAGAUGUGUGAAAAUGGCAAUCCUGAUACACUUGUGAUUGAUGAAAAUGGUUUGUUACAUUAUAUUAUUGGGAUGAUGAUGGACAAAAUCUUAUCUUUUUGUGUGUUUUGGUUUUUCAAGAAGGUGUGAUACCAUCAUUAAGCGAUUUGGUCUGCUACAAGAAGGUGUGAUGCCAUCAUUAGUAUCAAUCUCAGUGAACGGGAGUGCACGAGGUAGAGAGAAGUCUCAGAAGCUUUUAAUGUUGUUUAGGGAACAACGUCAGCAACGGGACCAGCCAUCUCCAAACAUAGAUGAGUUGCCACAAAAGGAACCUCCCCGGAAAUCUCUCUCAGUACCGAUGUCUUUCCAUGGAUCAACAACUCCUGCCUCACCUUCAGUUGAAGGUUUUGAACCGAGAGUCUUGUCGAAAUCCAUGUCGAGAAGAAAGUCUUUGGCUAGACCAUUCAGCUUCUUCUGGAAGAAAAGCUACUCGAUUCGCCAGUGAGAAAGAAAAAAAUAUCACAUAUUCAAACAACCUUUGUAUGUAAAAGCUUUGUUUUUUUUUUUGGUUUUCUUACAAGUUACAGAAGUUAUAUCAUAGAGAAAGAAGAUAUGUACAGGCCCCAUUGUGAUUAUACUCGAUUUUUGCUGUUACUAUGUAUAUCAAGUAAAUAUAAAUAAAACAAAACCCCAAUUUUAACAUCA